GAUGAACGCUGGCGGCGUGCCUAAUACAUGCAAGUCGAGCGAACAGACGAGGAGCUUGCUCCUCUGACGUUAGCGGCGGACGGGUGAGUAACACGUGGAAACCUACCUAUAAGACUGGGAUAACUUCGGGAAACCGGAGCUAAUACCGGAUAAUAUAUUGAACCGCAUGGUUCAAUAGUGAAAGACGGUUUUGCUGUCACUUAUAGAUGGAUCCGCGCCGCAUUAGCUAGUUGGUAAGGUAACGGCUUACCAAGGCAACGAUGCGUAGCCGACCUGAGAGGAUGAUCGGCCACACUGGAACUGAGACACGGUCCAGACUCCUACGGGAGGCAGCAGUAGGGAAUCUUCCGCAAUGGGCGAAAGCCUGACGGAGCAACGCCGCGUGAGUGAUGAAGGUCUUCGGAUCGUAAAACUCUGUUAUUAGGGAAGAACAAAUGUGUAAGUAACUAUGCACGUCUUGACGGUACCUAAUCAGAAAGCCACGGCUAACUACGUG
rnacentral:rRNA from 1 species